CCUCGAGAGACCGCGGGGCUGGGCGCUGCUCUACCAAGCUACUCUUGGAGCCACCUAAGAGGCAGAACUGGGAUCCCGCAGGGGUGUUCCACCUAUGUCCUAGUGCUGUCUUCACCAUGUCACUGUUGUCCCCAAUGGCAGACGAUGCAGAAAAAGACCAUGAUACCGCAUUAGCUUCUUUCAAAGAACAAGAUGCUGGGGUGCUUCCCGUGGGAGGUGUGAUACAUGGUCUGAACAAAGCAGUUCUGGGAUUCAUUCUUCACCCCUCUAGGAGCAAGAUGGAGUUGCAGCCAUGGAUGAUGCCCGUGAGGGCCCCUGGAUAAGAUCCUUUUGCCCUCGAACCCGAGCACCAAGACACCCUGCCAGCUGGAUGGCUUGUCCAACACUAUGCAGAAUGCCGCCAGCAUCAAGAGCUUGAACCCCUCCAACAGUGAGGUGAAGUCUGCAGGGGAGUUGGACGAGGGCAAAAGUCUGCAGCCAGAAGAGAUGAGUGCCGAUAGAAGCCCCCUGUGCACCACCUUCCCUGAUAAAUCAACCAACAU